rnacentral:rRNA from 1 species
AUGACAACCCAACAAGAGACAAGUUUGGCGUCGUUCUCUGCUCCGAGGGCAGAGCCAAGCUGGUCCGGGAUCAUCAAAUACGAUGAUAGCAAUCCGUACUACACCCACGAGGUUCUUAGCAAAAGCAGGCAGAACUUCACCGGCUCGACGUCGUCCGACACUAUGGAAGGCUGGCACUUCCCCUUUCUACACGAAGGAGACCCAAUGAGCUUCAGUGCAGGCGCGGCGGCCCUCGAGAUCCCCGUGUGCCAGCCUCUCCUGAUGGCCGUCACCCCGCCCCCACCCGAGAGCAGCAGCAGCAUCGUGCUCAGCUCUGAUUGUGUUCUCUCUAUUCUGUCGUCCCCGGCCAACUCCUCCAGCAUGGACAUCACCCAGAUGGUCCGUCCAAGCGAGCAAAUCCCUUCUGUGGCCCAGCAGUGCCUCGUUCCCGACCAGCAGUUCAGCAGCUCCUCCUGGUUCGCCUGCUCCCAGGCCUCCAGCGGUGUCUGCACUGCCGCCGGGUUCGCCGCCUUACCCAGCAUGGACAUCGAGCAGCUCAACACUGGCGCGCAGGUCCUGAGCUGGAACGACAACGAGAUGAACUGCCAUGGGAUCUUCCACGUCGGCGCUGAUGGCUACUCGGAAGGGACGUCGCCGUACUUCCAGUUCUCGUGGCAGUAG